GACAGCGUGUCCGAGUGGUUAAGGAGGUGGACUUGAAAUCCAUUAAUUAGGCUCAGCCUGCGCAGGUUCGAAUCCUUCCGCUGUCG